rnacentral:lncRNA from 1 species
GCCUCGGGCCUCGGAGCCGCCCAGCCAGGGUGGGGACCCAGGGUCGGGACCCAGGCCCGAAUACGCUUGGGAGCUGGGACCGCAGGGGCUCCGGCUGCGGGAGAGGAGCGCGGUGCCACAGGCCCUCCGUGCAACGCGACUCCUCAGACUGGGAGGCGAGGCUUUGGGAGUAAGUCAGGUGUACCUGUUGUCAUCCUGGUCCAGAAACUUGGGAACUCUUCUACAAACAAGUUUUCUAACACAGAAGAAAAGAAAGAAAUAUAAUCCAGCGACACUACAUGGAUCUCAGCUCAUCUUUUGGAAGCACAAGAAGCACAUUGUGGUAAUUAUACUUAUCCAGUGGUCCCAAAUCCUACCCAUUGCUGUGCAUGUAAUACAUAAUCCACAGUAAACAGGACCUGAGAAUAUGACGGGAUAGUAUGUGCUGUGAUGCCAUUAGGUCGUAUAAAACUCCCUCCCUCACUGCCUUUAAAUAAAUGAGCUUCAUGUCAGGAAGGCUGGGUGGCAAGGACCUAGCAGCUGAGGAUGACUCUGGCUGAUAGUCAGCAAAGAAUCAGGUGCCUCAGGCUUGCAAGUGCAAGGAAUCAAAACCUGCCCACAAUCUGAAUGAGCUUCAAAAAGUACUCCCACUUUGAGAGGAGAACACAGCCCCAG